ACCUCGAAUUUCACCAUCUUUUUUCCAUAGAGCUUUCUUGCCCCUAUUUCCAUCAAAAUACAAUGAAUAAAAAUGUUUGAUCAUGAGAGAGUUCCA